UACGUAGGGUGCGAGCGUUAAUCGGAAUUACUGGGCGUAAAGCGUGCGCAGGCGGUUUUGUAAGCCGGAUGUGAAAUCCCCGGGCUCAACCUGGGAAUUGCUUUUGAAACUGCCGAGCUAGAGUGCGGAAGGGGCAACUGGAAUUCCCAGUGUAGCGGUGAAAUGCGUAGAUAUUGGGAAGAACACCUGAGGCGAAGGCGGGUUGCUGGGCCGACACUGACGCUGAUGCGCGAAAGCCAGGGGAGCGAACGGG
rnacentral:rRNA from 1 species